rnacentral:rRNA from 1 species
GACGAACGCUGGCGGCGUGCUUAACACAUGCAAGUCGAACGGAAAGGCCCUGCUUGCAGGGUACUCGAGUGGCGAACGGGUGAGUAACACGUGGGUGAUCUGCCCUGCACUUCGGGAUAAGCCUGGGAAACUGGGUCUAAUACCGGAUAGGAGCCAUUUUUAGUGUGAUGGUUGGAAAGUUUUUUCGGUGUAGGAUGAGCUCGCGGCCUAUCAGCUUGUUGGUGGGGUAAUGGCCUACCAAGGCGGCGACGGGUAGCCGGCCUGAGAGGGUGGACGGCCACAUUGGGACUGAGAUACGGCCCAGACUCCUACGGGAGGCAGCAGUGGGGAAUAUUGCACAAUGGGCGCAAGCCUGAUGCAGCGACGCCGCGUGGGGGAGGACGGCCUUCGGGUUGUAAACUCCGUUCGCUAGGGACGAAGCUUUUUGUGACGGUACCUAGAUAAGAAGCACCGGCUAACUACGUG